rnacentral:lncRNA from 1 species
AUAACAAAUCACAAAUAUUAUAAGUUACAACUUAUUAUACAGUCACAAAUUAUCGGUCACGGAUUAAUAAUUUUUUAGGUCACACAUUAUUUUUCGAUAACAAUUUAUCUUUUUCACAGGUCAUAUAAUAUUUAUUGGUCACAUAUUAACGAAUUUAAUUGUCAUAGUCCACAAAAUAAUUUGUGACAAUCACAACACUUACAAUUCACAGUCACAAUUUUCAGGUCACGUAUCCAAUUGUGAAUCGUAAUUGUUAGUCACGGUCACAAUUUUCAGAUUACGUAUCCAAUUGUGAGUCACGAUCACAAUUUUCAUCGCCCCAACGUCGCCACCACACACUAACACCAAACUGUGAGUCACCGUCCACAACCGCCCCCAAAUCAUCGCCACCACCGUCGCAGCUUCACACCAACACCAUCACCGCGACCACGACGACCAUCACCCAAAUUGCACUUACUGUGACCCACAAAACCACCAUCUGCACCCUCUUUACCAUCGUUGAACAUCACUGCCAUCACCUAAACUCCACUUAAACCACUGUCACCCCCAAAACCACCAUCUCACUCCCGUCAAACACCACCACCACCUCGCACCUAUCGCACACAACAAAACACAAUACAACACCGCACCCAAAUCAUUCCACAAUCGAAUAACACAGAAACCCCUCGGCCACCAAAAUCAGGAAAAAGAUUUGGGAUGUAGCAAGGAGGGUCACGCAGUAGACCCACCACAUCUCGCAGCAGCAAACAUCAGAUCGUGUAACAAUCUCAUUGGCGAUGAUUUCCAGUAGUGGCUUCCAGCAACAGCGAGUUCGCAAUAGCCUCCCAGCGAUGGCAAGUUCACAACAGUUGGACGACGAUUGUGGUUUUGAGAGGUUUGGUGGUUGUAAUGGGGAUAGUGAUUGUGGUUGUUGCAGUUAUGGUGGUUGCCAUAGGUGGGAUGAGAUCGCCGCUGGAGAAGGGUGUGAGGGAUAGAGAGAGAGAUGAGCAGGGGAAAGGAAAGAAAUG